UACAAAAUCGCAUAAUAAAUAUCCGAAAAAUGCCAAAAAAAAAAACCAUGGUGAGAUCGAAAUUGCUGUAACAUCUUUGAUUUUGGGAAUUUCAAAAUUCUGAGAACACAGUUGGAUUCCUGAAGAAAAUCUCUUUCCCAAAGGCUAACCCCUUAUGAAAAUUUGCAAUUUUUGAUGCGAAAAAAUUUUUCGAGUUGAGAACACAGUAUUGAAGAUUAAAGCAAAUAAUUUGGACCAGUGCAACUCCCAAGUUGUUUCUUUAGAAAACACGCUCAAAAUCGCAUAAUCAAUAUCCGAAAAAUGCUACAAAAAUCAAUGUGAGAUUGAAAUUGUUGUAACUUCCUUUGUUUUGCGAAUUUCAAAAUUCGGAGGACACCAUUGGUUUCGUGAAGAAAAUACUCUUUCCUAUUUCCUUGCAUUCUUAAGAGUAUUGACAUUCUACAUCAAAAACAUCGUAGUCAAUUAUGGGGAAAACGAUGAUGUGUUGGUGUAUUCAUAUGAAAACCACUUCUGAGAAUCCAUGGAUAUAGAAGCAAUUGCUGAUUACAAAGAAUUGAGGUUGUUUACGAUGUAACAUUUCUUUUUGUAAUUAUUAACAUAAAUAAUCGAAAUAAAAUUAGAUUAAAGUU